rnacentral:rRNA from 1 species
UACGAGAGGCCCAAACGUUAUUCGGAUUUACUGGGCUUAAAGAGUUCGUAGGCGGCGCAGAAAGUAGGGUGUGAAAGCCCUCGGCUCAACCGAGGAAUUGCGCUCUAAACUACUGUGCUUGAGGAACCUAGAGGUGAGCACAACUGAUGGUGGAGCGGUGAAAUGCGUUGAUAUCAUCAGGAAUACCGGAGGCGAAGGCGGCUCACUGGGGGUUUUCUGACGCUGAGGAACGAAAGCCAGGGGAGCGAACGGG